rnacentral:rRNA from 1 species
UACGUAGGGUGCGAGCGUUAUUCGGAAUCACUGGGCAUAAAGGGCGCGUAGGCGGCUUCAUAAGUCAGGGGUGAAAUCCGGCAGCUUAACUGUCGCAGUGCCUUUGAUACUGUGGAGCUCGAGGGAGGUAGGGGUCUGUGGAACUUCCGGUGGAGCGGUGAAAUGCGUUGAGAUCGGAAGGAACGCCCGUGGCGAAAGCGAGGUCCUGGGCUCCUGCUGACGCUGAGACGCGAAAGCCAGGGGAGCGAACGGG